rnacentral:misc_RNA from 1 species
UCUGCAGGCUUCGAGCCCCGCA